ensembl:lncRNA
CACAGUGUGAGCUUUCUCAGGAGAUGAGAGGCACUGAUGCUAUGGGGAAUAUUUUAAACUGCAACUCACAGGAUAUAUAUAUAUAUAUAUAUAUAUAUAAUUGAAUUGAAUAAUUUAAUUCCAACCUGAGCUGGGAGCCCUGCCACAAGGAGAACUGUGACAUGGAAAGAAGUGCCAAACUCCAUGGAGCUCACUAAGGACAAUGUUAUUGAAACUACAAGGAACUAAGUGCCCAGAGAGGAAGACGAUGGUGCACAGUGUAAAACCUCAAGCCAGAUGGUGUUUUCCUGCCUGCAGAGUGCUGAUUAGAUCUUAUCUGAGCACAGCUGGGAGCACACAAACAUGGCCCAAUGCUGUGCAGCCCCACUUGAGAUGUGCCCCAAGGGAAGUAAUAGCGGCCAAGCUGCUGAGAAGGCCAGCAAGUGGGUAUGCUGGGAGAUGCAAUGUGCAGAGAAAAGCGAAAAACCUCAGCUCAUUUUGGGAGUGGAAGGAAGGAGGCUGCAACUGGAAGUUGUCAGUUAUGGGCAUAGUGAGUUGGUGGGAACACAGGUUGAAUUUCAUUUGGAAAUUCCUUUGGAGCAAUGGUGGGGUCUGCGCAGCUAAGCUUCUCAGUUGCUUCUCAUGCCAGACUUUUGUUUUAGUUAGAGACAUCAACCUAAUUCUGGAGGCUGAAAUCGGUUGAGGUGAAGGUCUAUGAUAAGGUGCAGGAGGUGAGUGAAGCAAAGAGCGGAGAGCUGGGAAAGGAACCCCAUCCAUGCUGAUGGGGGUUCAAUGUGCUGGGCAAAAUGGGUAUUGCUAAAUGAAAGGAACAGGGUUCAGUAAAGCAGCCUGGCUAUCCUUGCUUUCUAAGCAAAUGUAAUUACGAGAGUGUGCCCAAAAUGAACUUUAGUUUUCAAAGAACACAAAAUGAAGUUCAAUUCCAUUGGAGAAAGCCACCUGCAUUGUGGUGCAAGGCUUAGCAACAGCCAUUUGAUUAAAUGCUCUAUAGCAAGCUUUGAGGGGCUGUGGCUUUCAUAUCCGUUAGAUGAACACACAUUUCCCCAGCUGAGCUAUAGAUAGAGCUAUAGAGCUCCGAAAAAUGAGAUUCCACCUUCUGUUAAAAUGCUCUUUCUCUUAACAACUCCAUAUAACUCAUCUUCUGGAGUUCUCCUCCCAGUCUGCUCACAUCUCAGUAGACACAGAUUUGGACAGCUGGAAGAAUUACACCGGCUGGUGCUGGUGGCUUGAAAGUUGGGAAAUCCAUUAAAACUUUCCAAAACAUCUGCUUCUGCUAAACACUGGCAACUUUUGCUUUUGUCUCUGGCAGUGAAUGGUAUAUUUGUCAAGGCUAUAAUUGCAAAAUUGGACCGUUCCUUUGCUUGGCAACUCAAUUGGUAAUUCAUUUUGUUGUGUAAAUGGAGAGUAGCUUGCAAAGAGACAUCACUGAUUCAGCCAUUGGACAGCUUUAGCUCAACUCCAUCACUAGUUUGCUGACUGCAGAAUGAGAUAAGCCUAGAUCCAACAGAUCGUCCCAGUGCCACACACCACGGAGUGUAGCCUGGGGCUACUCUGCAAGCAAAGAGUGGUCUUCUGAUCAGGAUUACCACCUCCAUUGCCCUCUAUCCACUCAACAAAUAGCUUUGUGUUCAGAUGUUGACCCUCUAUGCAGAAGGGCUGAACACAGAGCAAAGCCCAGGGCAGUCCUGCUGGCCUCCCUUGGGAGGAGAAGAGCUCCGUGCUUUCACUAAAGCAUGCACUGAGUUUGGGGUUUGAGUGUCAAGAAGCAUAGGGCAUGGCCUAAACCCAUGGCAAGAGCAUGUUUUAUGUAAAAGAACAAGAAUUUGGACUUGUGCAAGCUCAUGCUGAAGUGAGUCUUCACUUCCCUUCCAUGCAG